rnacentral:misc_RNA from 1 species
UGGUUCUGGCAUCGAUGAAGAACGCAGCAAAAUGCGAUAAGUAAUGUGAAUUGCAGAAUUUAGUGAAUCAUCGAAUCUUUGAACGCACAUUGCGCCUUCCGGUAUUCCCGGAGGCAUGCCCGUCCGAGCGUCAUUUCACCACUCAAGCCCAGCUUGGUCUUGGGCGCUGUGGUCUUCCGCGCGCCUUGAAUCUCUGCCUCUGCUGUCUGCCACUGAGCGUAGUAUCUAUUGUUCAAUCGCUAUAGUGUGUACAGGCGGCGGCCGGCCCCGUUUGGGAUGUAUAAUUCGAAAGGUUGACCUCGGAUCGGGUAGGGUUACCCGCUGA